AACGCGAAGAACCUUACCCAGACUUGACAUGCAGUGGACAGUUCCAGAGAUGGAAUCUUCCUUCGGGACCGCUGCACAGGUGCUGCAUGGCUGUCGUCAGCUCGUGCCGUGAGGUGUUGGGUUAAGUCCCGCAACGAGCGCAACCCUUAUCAUUAGUUGCCAACAUUUAAGGUGGGAACUCUAAUGAGACUGCCUGGGUUAACCAGGAGGAAGGUGAGGAUGACGUCAAGUCCGCAUGGCCCUUAUGUCUGGGGCUACACACGUGCUACAAUGGUCGGUACAGAAGGCAGCGAAACCGUGAGGCGAAGCAAAUCCCUAAAACCGGCCUCAGUUCAGAUUGUAGUCUGCAACUCGACUACAUGAAGACGGAAUUGCUAGUAAUGGCGAGUCAGCAACAUCGCCGUGAAUACGUUCCCGGGUCUUGUACACACCG
rnacentral:rRNA from 1 species